rnacentral:rRNA from 1 species
UGCGUGCUUAACACAUGCAAGUCGAACGCUGAAGCCGACAGCUUGCUGUUGGUGGAUGAGUGGCGAACGGGUGAGUAACACGUGAGUAACCUGCCCCUGAUUUCGGGAUAAGCCUGGGAAACCGGGUCUAAUACCGGAUACGACCAUCCCUCGCAUGAGGGUUGGUGGAAAGUUUUUCGAUCGGGGAUGGGCUCGCGGCCUAUCAGCUUGUUGGUGGGGUAAUGGCCUACCAAGGCGACGACGGGUAGCCGGCCUGAGAGGGCGACCGGCCACACUGGGACUGAGACACGGCCCAGACUCCUACGGGAGGCAGCAGUGGGGAAUAUUGCACAAUGGGGGAAACCCUGAUGCAGCGACGCAGCGUGCGGGAUGACGGCCUUCGGGUUGUAAACCGCUUUCAGCAGGGAAGAAGCGAAAGUGACGGUACCUGCAGAAGAAGUACCGGCUAACUACGUGCCAGCAGCCGCGGUAAUACGUAGGGUACGAGCGUUGUCCGGAAUUAUUGGGCGUAAAGAGCUCGUAGGUGGUUGGUCACGUCUGCUGUGGAAACGCAACGCUUAACGUUGCGCGUGCAGUGGGUACGGGCUGACUAGAGUGCAGUAGGGGAGUCUGGAAUUCUGGUGUAGCGGUGAAAUGCGCAGAUAUCAGGAGGAACACCCG